rnacentral:rRNA from 1 species
CCCUUAGAUGUUCUGGGCUGCACGCGCGCUACACUGAUGCAUCCAACAAGUUUUUUCCUUGUUCGAGAGGACUAGGUAAUCUUAUGAGAAUGCAUCGUGAUGGGGAUAGAUUAUUGCAAUUAUUAAUCUUCAACGAGGAAUUCCUAGUAAGCGCACGUCAUCAGCGUGCAUUGAAUACGACCCUGUAUUCUGUACACACCGCCCGUCGCUCCUACCGAUUGAAGUUUUCGGUGAAUUUACUGGAGAUCCCUUUUGAAGGUGGUUCGCCACUGGAAGAAGUAUUCAAAAGUAAAUGAAUCGAAUGCUUUAGAGGAAGGAGAAGUCGUAACA